rnacentral:rRNA from 1 species
CAAGGCGACGAUCCCUAGCUGGUCUGAGAGGAUGACCAGCCACACUGGAACUGAGACACGGUCCAGACUCCUACGGGAGGCAGCAGUGGGGAAUAUUGCACAAUGGGCGCAAGCCUGAUGCAGCCAUGCCGCGUGUAUGAAGAAGGCCUUCGGGUUGUAAAGUACUUUCAGCGGGGAGGAAGGUGUUGUGGUUAAUAACCGCAGCAAUUGACGUUACCCGCAGAAGAAGCACCGGCUAACUCCGUGCCAGCAGCCGCGGUAAUACGGAGGGUGCAAGCGUUAAUCGGAAUUACUGGGCGUAAAGCGCACGCAGGCGGUCUGUCAAGUCGGAUGUGAAAUCCCCGGGCUCAACCUGGGAACUGCAUUCGAAACUGGCAGGCUUGAGUCUUGUAGAGGGGGGUAGAAUUCCAGGUG